rnacentral:rRNA from 1 species
AACGAACGCUGGCGGCAUGCCUAACACAUGCAAGUCGAACGAGACCUUCGGGUCUAGUGGCGCACGGGUGCGUAACGCGUGGGAACCUGCCCUUAGGUUCGGAAUAACUCCCCGAAAGGGGUGCUAAUACCGGAUAAUGUCUUCGGACCAAAGAUUUAUCGCCUUUGGAUGGGCCCGCGUUGGAUUAGCUAGUUGGUAGGGUAAAAGCCUACCAAGGCGACGAUCCAUAGCUGGUCUGAGAGGAUGAUCAGCCACACUGGGACUGAGACACGGCCCAGACUCCUACGGGAGGCAGCAGUAGGGAAUAUUGGAAAAUGGGCGAAAGCCUGAUCCAGCAAUGCCGCGUGAGUGAUGAAGGCCUUAGGGUUGUAAAGCUCUUUUACCCGGGAUGAUAAUGACAGUACCGGGAGAAUAAGCUCCGGCUAACUCCGUG